UACGUAGGGGGCGAGCGUUGUCCGGAAUUACUGGGCGUAAAGGGUACGCAGGCGGUUUGAUAAGUCAGGUGUAAAAGGCAUUGGCUCAACCAAUGUAAGCAUUUGAAACUGUCAGACUUGAGUAUAGGAGAGGUAAGUGGAAUUCCUAGUGUAGCGGUGAAAUGCGUAGAUAUUAGGAGGAACACCAGUGGCGAAGGCGACUUACUGGACUAAAACUGACGCUGAGGUACGAAAGCGUGGGGAGCAAACAGG
rnacentral:rRNA from 1 species